rfam:Myotis lucifugus cont2.3527, whole genome shotgun sequence.
UGUGUAUGAUGAUACCUUGGUACUACUGUAAUCUGCCGAGUGCUUGAUGCUCAGCUUGAAGAGCUGAGCUUGCU